GCCCGCCUAGCUCAAUCGGAUAGAGCGUCAGACUUUUAAGAAGUCCGGGUGAUCGGUUCCUUGUGAUCUGAAGGCUGCGAGUUCGACCCUCGCGGUGGGCU